GGCUGGUAGCUCAAUGGUAGAGCACUUGCCUAGCAUAUGUGAGGCACUGAGUUCAAUCCUCAGCACCA
rnacentral:tRNA from 1 species